CCCUUAGAUGUUCUGGGCCGCACGCGCGCUACACUGAUACAUUCAACGAGUCCAACCUUGACCGAGAGGUCCGGGUAAUCUUUGAAACUGCAUCGUGAUGGGGCUAGAUUAUUGCAAUUAUUAAUCUUCAACGAGGAAUGCCUAGUAAGCGUGAUUCAUCAAAUCGCGUUGAUUACGUCCCUGCCCUUUGUACACACCGCCCGUCGCUCCUACCGAUUGAGUGUGUUGGUGAGGAGUUUGGAUUGGCCUCGGAAGGUGGUUCGCCACCGUCCGUAGCUGAGAAGUUCUCCAAACCGCCCCACUUAGAGGAAGGAGAAGUCGUAACA
rnacentral:rRNA from 1 species